rnacentral:rRNA from 1 species
CCGCAAGGGGAGUGGCAGACGGGUGAGUAACGCGUGGGAACAUACCCUUUCCUGCGGAAUAGCUCCGGGAAACUGGAAUUAAUACCGCAUACGCCCUACGGGGGAAAGAUUUAUCGGGGAAGGAUUGGCCCGCGUUGGAUUAGCUAGUUGGUGGGGUAAAGGCCUACCAAGGCGACGAUCCAUAGCUGGUCUGAGAGGAUGAUCAGCCACAUUGGGACUGAGACACGGCCCAAACUCCUACGGGAGGCAGCAGUGGGGAAUAUUGGACAAUGGGCGCAAGCCUGAUCCAGCCAUGCCGCGUGAGUGAUGAAGGCCUUAGGGUUGUAAAGCUCUUUCACCGGAGAAGAUAAUGACGGUAUCCGGAGAAGAAGCCCCGGCUAACUUCGUGCCAGCAGCCGCGGUAAUACGAAGGGGGCUAGCGUUGUUCGGAAUUACUGGGCGUAAAGCGCACGUAGGCGGAUAUUUAAGUCAGGGGUGAAAUCCCAGAGCUCAACUCUGGAACUGCCUUUGAUACUGGGUAUCUUGAGUAUGGAAGAGGUAAGUGGAAUUCCGAGUGUAGAGGUGAAAUUCGUAGAUAUUCGGAGGAACACCAGUGGCGAAGGCGGCUUACUGGUCCAUUACUGACGCUGAGGGUGCGAAAGCGUGGGGAGCAAACAGGAUUAAAUACCCUGGGUAGUCCACGCCGUUAAACGAUGAAAUGUUAGCCGUCGGGCAGUAUACUGUUCGGUGGCGCAGCUAACGCAUAAAACAUUCCCGCCUG